AAGGUGAGUGCGCACCCCUGGCUGUGCGAGGCCGUUCGGGCGCCCGAGCUUAGGAGUUGGCCAGACGAGAGCGCCCCUUCCUUAACUUUUAUUAAGGCAACUGGGCGCGGGGUUGGGGACCGUCUAUGGCGGGAGCUUCCAAUUUGCAUUCAGAGAAAGCUUAGGACCCAUCGCCGCCCUCACCACGGACCUCCCCGGGCCAUCUCGGAGCCCGCAGGCGGGCUGGCCAGUGCCCACAGCGAGGCGGGGUCGGCCCAAGGGUGUUUUGGGGAGUGCAUCUGACCCUCCCGGGCCUCGUCGCCCCAGCCCCUCGACCCUACUGCCCCAAGGAGCCCGGGGAGGCACGGCCGAGCCCAGGGCUGCCCGUCGGGCCAGCCACCGGCGAAGCGAAACUGUCAGAGGAGGAACAGCCCAAGAAAAAGCAUCGGCGGAACCGCACGACUUUCACCACGUACCAGCUGCAUGAGCUGGAGCGCGCGUUCGAGAAGUCCCACUACCCGGAC
rnacentral:lncRNA from 1 species